UAAGGUUCAAACGCCAGCCACCCAGGGGUGGAGAACUGUGGGGCACAAACUGAUGGCUAUAAUUGGGCUGUUCAAAUUUUUGACCUUGGUUAUCUUUUAAAGUAACUUUCUUGCAAUGAAUUCAAUCUCUCUCUCAUGAGUAGUUUGGUGGGUCUUAUUUCCAAUCCUCUCACUGCCCCACUCAGGGAAUUGAAUAAACGGACAGCAGUUGGUGGCUGAAACAGGAGUCCAUACACUCAUGGGAACUGACAUUUGUAUUAAGCAUGGAAUGUUUGGCUCCUCAUCUGGUUUCUGGCUUUGAAGAUGCAGUUGGAGUCUUCAGCCUGCAGCAUCUCCUGCUGCCCCGGUACCUGCCCAGUUGAAGUCUUUGUCUUCUGAGACCAGGCGGGGGUAAGGGAGAAAAUAAUAAAAAACUCUGGCCACAGCCAGCCUUAAGAGAA